CGCUGGCGGCGCGCUUACACAUGCAAGUCGGACGAGAAAGGGGGAGCAAUCUCCUGAGUACAGUGGCGUACGGGUGAGUAACACGUGGGGAUCUACCUUCUGGUGGGGGAUAACUCUGGGAAACCGGAGCUAAUACCGCAUAAGCAGGGAACUGGAAAGCCGAAAGGCGCCGGAAGAGGAGCCCGCGGCCGAUUAGCCAGUUGGUGAGGUAACGGCUCACCAAAGCAAAGAUCGGUAGCCGGCCUGAGAGGGCACACGGCCACACUGGCACUGAAACACGGGCCAGACUCCUACGGGAGGCAGCAGUGGGGAAUCUUGCACAAUGGGGGCAACCCUGAUGCAGCGACGCCGCGUGAGCGAUGAAGCCCUUCGGGGUGUAAAGCUCUUUCGACCGGAACGAUAAUGACGGUACCGGGAGAAGAAGCUGCGGCUAACUACGUGCCAGCAGCCGCGGUAAUACGUAGGCAGCAAGCGUUGUUCGGAGUUACUGGGCGUAAAGAGUGCGUAGGCGGUGGCCUAAGUUCGGUGUGAAAUCUCCCGGCUUAACUGGGAGGGUGCGCCGGAAACUGGGCUGCUGGAGUGUGGGAAAGGCAAGCGGAAUUCCUGGUGUAGCGGUGAAAUGCGU
rnacentral:rRNA from 1 species